rnacentral:rRNA from 1 species
UAAUACGGAGGGGGCGAGCGUUAUUCGGAAUUAUUGGGCGUAAAGGGCGCGUAGGCGGCUUGGCAAGUCAAAGGUGAAAUCCCUCGGCUCAACUGAGGAACUGCCUUUGAAACUGCCUGGCUUGAGUCCGGGAGGGGGUAUCGGAAUUCCCAGUGUAGCGGUGAAAUGCGUAGAUAUUGGGAGGAACACCAGUAGCGAAGGCGCUUCACUGGCUCGUAACUGACGCUGAGUGCACGAAGCGUGGGGAGCAAACGGGAUUAGAUACCCCGGUAGUCCACGCAGUAAACGAUGUUCACUAGGUGUCGGCUCCUUUAUUGGGGUCGGUGCCGCAGCUAACGCAUUAAGUGAACCACCUGGGGAGUACAUGUCGCAAGGCU